ACCACCAGAUCUGGAGACCUAUUUCCCUGUGAAAGUUGAAUUUCAGAGAUUGUCCACUACUGGUAUUCUUCCAGAAAGUAAAGUCAUUAUACAUGUUUCCAAAGAUACCCUUCUGAAGCCAAAAAUGUAAGAUUGUGGAGCAGUGACUGGGGGAAAAAAAUCUACCCACAAUACACAGGCAGACUCAUUUGCAAGAAAUGUGCAGAAAAAAAACAGACUAAGAAAGAUGCAGUCCCUGGUCCCAAAGAAUUUCUACUUUAUGUUAAAAUAACAAUAGUGGGAAAAUAUGACAGAACAGAAAAGGGUUGAAAUAGGAUGAGUAUGUCAUCAUGCAGUCUCAUGGGGAAGUUAGUAAAUGUGUCUAAAAGGUAAUAAGGAAGCUUUUGUUUCCUGGAUUUUUUCUACUACUGUUUAUAAAUUAAUAAUGUAGCCAGCUGUAGAGAUGAACAGAAAAAUAUAUUCAUUGCACACAGUAGCAUUAAUGCAGCUUUAAA